CCUACGGGAGGCAGCAGUCGAGAAUCAUUCACAAUGGGGGAAACCCUGAUGGUGCGACGCCGCGUGGGGGAAUGAAGGUCUUCGGAUUGUAAACCCCUGUCAUGUGGGAGCAAAUUAAAAAGAUAGUACCACAAGAGGAAGAGACGGCUAACUCUGUGCCAGCAGCCGCGGUAAUACAGAGGUCUCAAGCGUUGUUCGGAAUCACUGGGCGUAAAGCGUGCGUAGGCUGUUUCGUAAGUCGUGUGUGAAAGGCGCGGGCUCAACCCGCGGACGGCACAUGAUACUGCGAGACUAGAGUAAGGGAGGGGGAACCGGAAGUCUCGGGGUAGCAGUGAAAUGCGUAGAUAUCGAGAGGAACACUCGUGGCGAAGGCGGGUUCCUGGACAUUAACUGACGCUGAGGCACGAAGGCCAGGGGAGCGAAAGGGAUUAGAUACCCGAGUAGUC
rnacentral:rRNA from 1 species